rnacentral:rRNA from 1 species
GACGAACGCUGGCGGCGUGCUUAACACAUGCAAGUCGAACGGAAAGGCCUCUUUCGGGGGGUACUCGAGUGGCGAACGGGUGAGUAACACGUGAGUAACCUGCCCUUGACUUUGGGAUAACUUCAGGAAACUGGGGCUAAUACCGGAUAGGAGCUCCUGCUGCAUGGUGGGGGUUGGAAAGUUUCGGCGGUUGGGGAUGGACUCGCGGCUUAUCAGCUUGUUGGUGGGGUAGUGGCUUACCAAGGCUUUGACGGGUAGCCGGCCUGAGAGGGUGACCGGCCACAUUGGGACUGAGAUACGGCCCAGACUCCUACGGGAGGCAGCAGUGGGGAAUAUUGUACAAUGGGUGGAAGCCUGAUGCAGCAACGCCGGGUGCGGGAGGACGGCCUUCGGGUUGUAAACCGCUUUCGCUCAUGACGAAGCUUUGUGUGACGGUAGUGGGUAAAGAAGCACCGGCUAACUACGUG